CCGACCUUAGCUCAGUUGGUAGAGCGGAGGACUGUAGUUAUCCUUAGGUCGCUGGUUCGAAUCCGGCAGGUCGGA
rnacentral:tRNA from 1 species